CAGAAGUUAAGAUUAUGAUAAAAGAUUUGGAGAUCAAAAACACAGGCAUGGCACAAUGCAGUGCGUAUAUAAAAAUGUCACCUUACCUUUAGGUCACUCAUACAUCGAUUAUACCCAUUGUGUAGAGCACAGCUGUGGUUCGGAUGGAAGUAUGUCUGUUUGUGGGAUUGGUAUAUACGCAGGAGUGAUUGUUCCGCCAGAUGGAUGUGCGAUUUUAAAAGGAGAAAAAUGUGCUUUUGAGUUUGUAUCUGCCAGAGAUCAUACCAUCAAAUGUGAAGCACACAUAUUUGGAUAAAUAUAUUUUUACAUCUAUGGAAAUUGAAUAGAAUAUUAUAGAAAAAUGCAAAGACACUUUCUACGUCAAGUGAUUCUAUGUAUUGGCGGACAGGAGA